rnacentral:lncRNA from 1 species
AUGAGUGAUGUUGAGCAUCUUUUCAUGUGUUUGUUAGCCAUCCGUAUGUCUUCUUUGGAGAAAUGUCUAUUUAGUUCUUUGGCCCAUUUUUUGAUUGGGUCGUUUAUUUUUCUGGAGUUGAGCUGCAUAAGUUGCUUGUAUAUUUUUGAGAUUAGUUGUUUGUCAGUUGCUUCAUUUGCUAUUAUUUUCUCCCAUUCAGAAGGCUGUCUUUUCACCUUGCUUAUAUUUUCCUUUGUUGUGCAGAAGCUUUUAAUUUUAAUUAGAUCCCAUUGCAAAUAGAACUACCUUAUGACCCAGCAAUCCCACUGCUGGGCAUACACACCGAGGAAACCAGAAUUGAAAGAGACACAUGUACCCCAAUGUUCAUCGCAGCACUGUUUAUAAUAGCCAGGACAUGGAAACAACCUAGAUGUCCAUCAGCAGAUGAAUGGAUAAGAAAGCUGUGGUACAUAUACACAAUGGAGUAUUACUCAGCAGUUAAAAAGAAUUCAUUUGAAUCAGUUCUGAUGAGAUGGAUGAAACUGGAGCCGAUUAUACAGAGUGAAGUAAGCCAGAAAGAAAAACACCAAUACAGUAUACUAACACAUAUAUAUGGAAUUUAGGAAGAUGGCAAUGACGACCCUGUAUGCAAGACAGGGAAAGAGACACAGAUGUGUAUAACGGACUUUUGGACUCAGAGGGAGAGGGAGAGGGUGGGAUGAUUUGGGAGAAUGACAUUCUAACAUGUAUACUAUCAUGUGAAUUGAAUCGCCAGUCUAUGUCUGACGCAGGAUGCAGCAUGCUUGGGGCUGGUGCAUGGGGAUGACCCAGAAAGAUGUUAUGGGGAGGGAGGUGGGAGGGGGGUUCAUGUUUGGGAAUGCAUGUAAGAGUUAAAGAUUUUAAAAUUUAAAAAAUAAAAAACUAAAAUUAAAAAAAAAAAAGAAAAGAAGAGAAGUGAAAUGCAACGAGAAAAGGAAAGAUAUACCCAUUUAAAUGCAGAGUUCCAAAGAAAAGCAGGGAGAGAUAAGACAGCCUUUCUCAGUGAUCAAUGCAAAGAAACAGAGGAAAACAACAGAAUGGGAUAGAUUUGAGAUCUCUUCAAGGAAAUUAGAGAUAUCAAGGUAAUUUUCAUGCAAAGAGGGGAACAAUAAAGGACAGAAAUGGUAUGACCCUAACAGAAGGAGAAGAUAAUAAGAAGAGGUGGCAAGAAUAAAUAGAAGAAGUAUACAAAAAGAUCUUUAUGACCCAGGUAAUCAUGAUGGUGUGAUCACUCACCUAGAGCCAGACAUCAUGGAAUGGGAAGUCACAUGGGUCUUAGAAAGCAUCACUAUGAACAAAGCUAGUGGAGGUGAUGGGAUUUCA